GCGAAGUGGACUAAUACCUUAUGUAUUCGUUUGAUCUCAUGAGAUUAACGAAUAAAUAUUUAUCGGUUAUGGAUGGGGAUGCGUCUGAUUAGCUUGUUGGCGGGGUAACGGCCCACCAAGGCAACGAUCAGUAGGGGUUCUGAGAAGGAAGGUCCCCCANAUUGGAACUGAGACACGGGGUCCAAACUCCUACGGGAGGCAGCAGAC
rnacentral:rRNA from 1 species